rnacentral:rRNA from 1 species
UUGGAGGGCAAGUCUGGUGCCAGCAGCCGCGGUAAUUCCAGCUCCAAUAGCGUAUAUUAAAGUUGUUGCAGUUAAAAAGCUCGUAGUUGAAUUUUGGAUUCUUCCAAUUGGUCCAUCUUUUAGAUGAGUACUGGUUGUGUGGGGUCUAUCCGCCUGGUGAUACGUAAUGUCCUUUAUUGGAUGUUAUGGGUAGUCAGGACCUUUACCUUGAAAAAAUUAGAGUGUUUAAAGCAGGCUUAUGCCGGAAUACAUUAGCAUGGAAUAAUAGAAUAGGACGAAGUUGUUUUAUUUUGUUGGUUUCUAGGACAACCGUAAUGAUUAAUAGGGAUAGUUGGGGGCAUUAGUAUUCAAUUGUCAGAGGUGAAGUUCUUGGAUUUAUUGAAGACUAACUACUGCGAAAGCAUUUUUCAAGGAUGUUUUCAUUAAUCAAGAACGAAAGUUAGGGGAUCGAGGACGAUCAGAUAUCGUCGUAGUCUUAACCAUAAACUAUGCCAACUAGGGAUCGGACGAUGUUAAUUUUUUAAUGACUCAUUCGGCGCCUUACGGGAAAC